GAAAAGUGGCCGGGCGCGGCGGCGGGAUGCGGCGCAGCUAACGGUCCCGGGCGGCCGCCGGAGCCGCUAGGCGCAGAGGCAGCAUGGAAGGGGAAUAAACUGGACUGAUCUUCCUGUCCACCCUCCACGACUAACAAGGACUCUGGUGAUCUCGCAGGGUUUUCCUUGGACCACAACAAAAUCUGCCUUCUAGAGCUGUGAAUAUGAAAUAAAGUGUGGAGAGCAAAGAGGAUGCUCUGUGAAUGGUAGUGUGCACCUCCCAGUACUGUCAGCCACCCCCACGAAUGGGGGACAGUGAAGCACCAAGAGGCUAGAUCCUUGCACAGACGACAUAGUUCACAAAGUGGAACCAGCUUUUCUGACUCUGAAGAACAUGUUGGCUAGAUCCUUGCACAGACGACAUAGUUCACAAAGUGGAACCAGCUUUUCUGACUCUGAAGAACAUGUUCUCCAUUCUGUAAUAACAUCUGUGGAGGUGUUCCUUUCAGUGUGACAAGUCAGGGAUGGCUUCCCAGUCAUUGGACUGUGGACCUGAAGACAUCCCAAAGCACGUGGACAUCUCUCUGCUCCAAAUCGGUUAAACACUGCUUGUCUGGAGACAAGGACUGGAGUGGAGUGUUUCAAUAUUGGCUUAAUCGGAAAUCAAGGCUAUGGUGAUUUUCAGGCACUGGCACAUGGGAAGCUUUGCUAAUUGACACUUGUGGUUUGUGCAAAAACAACAAAGAUGUGCUUUCCCCGUCAGACAAUGUAAACAAAUUAUCUUUGUAUUCUUGUGUAUGUGUAUGUGUGUUGUUCCUACAUGGGAGCACACGUGCUCCCAUGUAUGUGCAUGUGGAGACCAGAGAUUGACAUCCAGUAGCUUCCUUGAUCUUUCUCCACCUUUAGAUGCUGAGGAAAAAUCAUUCCCUUGAACCUAGAGCUUUCCAAUUCGAUUAGUCCAGCCAACUGGCCUGCUUUGAGGUCCCCCAUCUCUGCAGGCAUCAGCAUGGGUUAAAGGGCUCCAGACGCCAGCUCUCACAUUGCACCGCCCAUGCCAUCUCCUCAGCCCCUGUGUUCUGGCACUUUCCUAGAAGGAAAGCUCUGCUUUUGUUGUUAAAACCAUCACUCUUUCCCCACCAUUCCCUGCUCUCAUUACUUGUUGCUUAGACAGAAGCAGCUUAAGGAAGGGAGAAGCUAUUUUGGCUUAUAAUUUGAGGACACCGUUCAUCAUGGCAGAAACAUCCUGGUGACAAAAACUUGAGGCAGCUAGUUAGUUUCAAUGCAUAGUGGGGAAGCACAGAAUGAAGAGGACUGUACUCAGUUCUGCUCCCCCACUUCUGCUCAGUCUGGGACCCCAGCACAUAGAAUGGCACUACCCAUAUUUAAGGCUGCUCUUCCCAUUACAGUGAACCCAGUCUAGAGACUCCCUCAUAGGCAGACCCAGAAGUCUGUCUUCUAGCUGAUUCCAGAUCCUAUCAUGUUCACAAAUCAAUAUUAACCACUAUAACUGCAAGAAGUCCAGCCCUUUGAAGGUCUCCGGAAGUGUCCUCAUAUGGUAGCCAGAAGCUGAGUCUGAACACUGGCAGAUUCUCAGGGACUGUCCUGACAGAGCCAGUUCUUCCUCCUGCAGAAGGUGUGACUUGCUCAGCAGAGCUGGGGACCCAUUGACAGUCAAAGGCCCAUUGCACUAUUAACAGCUUGUACUAGAAAUAUUAACAUAAAUUAGCUUGAGUAGAGACCAAUCUCCAUUUUUCUCACCAUUUACAAAUCUCUAUAAAUAACUGAUAAAUGUGGUUAAUGAAACACUGAAGCUGGUGCCAAUAUGGUUCUCAUGGCGAUGUCACAUGUGCCAUAGAAAGGAAGUCACUCUGAUUUAAGACUGAGGUAAUGCUAGAAACAAAAAUUGCAACAAAAUGUCAAAUGUUGUCAUAGGUCUCCCUCCCCCACAGCACCCCAUUGUUGUGGAAAGGCAGGUCCCUGAGAACUUCCUGUAUUUGAUGUCAGUGAGAGCUGAGCUGAAGAACAACCAUAGGGAAGGAGAGCAUGCCACUCCCAGGAUGCAUUUAGACUCCCAUUGUCCCUAAGACUCACAUUAAAGAGAUGUGAGUCUCUGAUUUCAGUGGGGUUGCUUCAAGUUUCUCUCCAUUUAAUUUGAUACUGGCUCUUGGUUUGCAGUAAAUUGCUUUUAUUACGU